CCACUGCAUGAGGACCUCACAAUGUCGUGAGCAUGUCGGUUUAGACAAGUGAGAUUUCAUUUUAAGGUCACACAGCCUGUACCGGCCACGGUUGUCAUCACUCUGGUCCCCGCUGUACUCAGAUGUUUGUGUUGUUUCUGGCCGACCAGAGUUGUCGUUAAUUAUUCUGCAUGCAGUGCAGAAGAAGCAGCAUCUAUUUGCGAGAUUUACGAAGCGGUAGAUCAGUCUUAAUGGAUGUGUCAUUUUGUCCUAAUCUCUCUUGCAGUCGGGUGAACGGAAAAGAUGACAGGGUUAACUAAUGAGGACUGUAAAGUGCAAAUGGGGUUGCCCCAACGGACCAAACAGACUAGUGGCGAUUCUGACGGUGACAUUUCAUUAACAGGUACCUGGCGCCAAAGGAAAGGUAGUCUAUUUUUAAUGUACCAUUAAUAAAGAAAUUGUGUUUGAUAAUUCCUGUGCGUUUGGUCUUGGUUACUCGUUAUUCACACCAAUUUUUCUUCAGUUUUGUUUGCCAUGGUACUUCAAGAAUGAAGUGUACAAUGUUGAAACUAAUAUAAUUUAAUUAUUAUAAAUCUCUAUGUGAUUGCUGAAUGAUUUAUCAAUAUACAAUAUUGCGUAGCUAUUUUUUAAUAGGAAAUGUAAUAAUGAUGAAAAGAAAGGGGAGGGGGUUAUAAUAACUAAAAAUGUGUGAAAUGUGGAGUUGGAAUGGUUCAUAUUUAAAAAGUUUUUUUUCCAGAUUCUCAAGUUAUAUAGCGGACACGAAAGGAUGA